AGAAAGAGGCCUUCCUCUUAUCUCAACUGCAAGAGGCCUUCCUCUUUUACUAAUCCUCCUCAGCACAGACCGUUCACAGGUGUCGGGCUUGGGGACAGUCAGGUCUUUCCCAUCCCACAAGGCCAAAUUUCAGACUAUCACAUGGGGAGAAACCUUGGACGAUACCCGGCUUUCCAGGACAGAGGUCCCUGCGGCUUUCUGCAGUGCAUUGUGCCCUGGUUUAUCGAGACUGGAGAAUGGCGAUGACUUUUAGCAAGCAUACUGCGUGUAAAUAUUUUGUUGACAAGGCACAUCCUGCAUAGCCCUAGAUCCCUUAAACCUUGAUUCCAUACAACACAUGUUUUUGUGAGCUCAAGGUUGGGGCAAAGUUACAGAUUAACAGCAUCUCAGGGCAAAGCAAUUGUUCAGGGUACAGGUCAAUAUGGAGUUUCUUAUGUCUUCCCUUUCUACGAAGACACAGUAACAGUCUGAUCUCUCUUUUCCCUACAUUGAAGGCUUGUCUUCUGUGUAUACACUUAGCCUGUGAAAAAAUGGCUCAGGAAAAGGUGGGCUAUACCUCUUUUGCUGUAGCUUGGUAGAGCAAUCUGAGGGAGAUACCUGAGAAGCAACUGCCAGUGUUUCUGGUAAGCCAUCAGUCUUGGUUGAGUUGACCACACAGUCUUUCAUAUCUGUAGUGAGCCGUGUUCACCAGCAGAGAAUUAGGGAAGUGAAGUGCUGUUGCUGAUAUGUUCUUCUAACAUAUGGACCCAGUAACUUUUUUCUUCCAUGCUCCAAUGGUUCAAAUACCUGUGCAAGGUCAUACAGGAAACACACACUGGCAUUGGCAGCAUUCUGGGCAUGGGAAAUUUGGGGUCUAGGGAAGAAACUGGUGAUGGCCUUCUGUCAGGAUUCUGUGCUCAGACACUAAUGUGCUGAACUACAUGGUUUCCACUGUGAAGAGGAAUGGCAUGUCAGGCGUCAUGAGGACCCCUGAUUCAGUGAAUAGGAACGCAGUUCAAGUUUAUUCAAGCAUUUCUCUGUUAGCUUCUUGCACUCUUCCAUUGAUCAUACUCUGCACAUGGGUGGGAACAGAAAACUCCUGUCGUUCCUGUCAAUGACCAGUGCAUGAAGCUGGUGAAAUUUGGAUCCUUAUAGGCAUCUGUAGAAGAGCCUGAGUGUUCAGGAAGCUCCCACAUCAGGUAUUCAGGCUAACAGCUUAAUCUCUCCUAUUCCUCAUGCUGAAAAGGGCACCUACCUGAAGGCCCUAGGUGUCACUUUCCCUAUUUAUAAGCUGUUGCCAUUUGGUGAUCUGACCCAUCUGCCAUUUGGUCCUCUCAGAGGGGAAAUUACAAGGUCAAAGUGACCUUGCCUGUGCUUUCAAGGAGAGAGUGUUACAGACACAACCGUGAGGGAUUUAUACAUCUUGUGUAGUACUCCAGCUACUGAAGCUGUUAUAGGAUAAGGGGGAGCCACAAUUUGAGGAAGAGAAGGCACUCUGCUUUCCCUAUUUCAGGCUACGUAAGAGUACAAGCAGGAAUAUGAGGAAUCUCCAGAAUAUGACAGAGGAGAACAAUGCACAUUGAUAGAUGUCCUAUGAGCAUAUAUGACCCAUUGCAAAGUUGAGAUAUCGAUGAAAGGGACAGGUUAUUAUUUUCCAUAUCCUCAGUGAAUGGUGGGCUUGUCUGUUGAUACAAGUUUUGAUGUGUCAACCUUCUUCUGUUUACUGUUACAGAUUGCUAAUGUUUUAUAUGGUCACAUAGUUCAAUAAUGUGAUGGACUUCUGCAAAAUUACUGCUAUCACUUUUGCUGAUGCUGUUGUAUCCUCACCAAUGCCAUACACUGUAGCACUCAUCUUGGUCAUAAUCCAGGGUGUUCUCCUAUAGGUUUAUUGCAAGUUGUGAGCACUACCUGUGAUAUGCAUUUCCUGCUAUCUUACUCAAGAGGGCUGAGCUGAGAUGCUGGUUUCAACUGCUUAAGUUAUUUUCUCUUUACCUAGUGCUCAUGCAAGCCAAACAUUUUUGCUGCCAAUCCUUUUCCACAAUUAGAGAAGAAGAGGGCACAGAGGUUUCUCUACUUCAGGCUACCUAACAGGUCAAGCAGGAAUGUCAAGAAUCUGCUGCAUAUGAGGAAAAUAGACAGUUCAAAGGACUAGGGACUUUGAUAUGAAAGUUGCAGUGCGCAUCAGGGUUCAGGGAAGUUCUCCCAUUCCCUUUUUCCCUUCCCUCACAGUACAUUUGGAAUACCAUGACUGGAGGGCACAGGACAGCACUGCACAUCCACAGAUGUCAUAUGAGCAUACAUGGCCCACUGGCAGACGUCAGACGUGAAUGGGGACAGGUUGUUAUUUUCCAUUUUCCCAGUGAGUGAUGGGCUUGUCUGUUGAUGAAGGCGUUGGUGCCUCAGUCGUCUUCUGUGUAUUGCUGUAGGCCUGUAAAAAAUGGCCACAGAGGUAGGUGACCCUUUACCCAAUUAUAUUGUUACAUAGUACUAUAACGUGGAGAACUUCUGCAAAGUUACUGCUGUUGCUUUUGCUGAUGCUGUUGUAUCCACACGAAUGCAGUGCACUGUAUGCCCUCAUCUUGGUGAUAAUCCAGGGUGUUCUCCAGUAGCUUUUUUGCAAGUCUUGAAUGCUGCCUGUGAUACACAUUUCCCACUAUCAUUCUCAGGAGGGCUGAGCUGAGAUACUGGCCUCGACUGCUUAAGUUAUUUUCUCUUUACCUAGUUCUCAUGCAGGCCAAACAUUUUUGCUGUCAAUCCUUUUCCACAAUUUGAGCAGGGGAGGGCACAGGAGUUUCCCUACUUCAGGCUACCUAACAGGUCAAGCAGGAAUGUCAAGAAUCUCCUGCAUAUGAGGAAAAUACAGUUCAGAGGACUAGGGACUUUGAUGUGAAAGUUGCAGUGGGCAUUAGGGUUCAGUGAAGUGCCUCCUGUCCCUUUUCCUCUUCCCUGACAGUACCUUUGGAGCAACAUGACUGGAGGACACAGGACAACAGUGCAUAUUGACUAAUGUGACAUGAGCGUACAUGGCCCACUGGCAAACAUCAGAAAUGGAUGAUGGGGACAGGUUCUUAUUUUCCCUUUUUCUGGUGACUGGUGGGCUUGUCUGUUGGUGAAGGCGUUGUGCCUCAGCCUUCUUCUGUUUAUUACUUUAGGCCUUUGAAAAAUGGCCACAGACGUAGGAGGCCAUUCACCCUAUUAUAUUGUAAUAUAAUACUCUAAUGUGGAGGACUUCUGCAAAGUUACUGCUGUUGCUUUUGCUGAUGCUCUUGUAUCCUCAUCGAUGCGAUGCACUGUGUGCCUUCAUCUUGGUGAUAAUCCAGGGUGUCUUCCUAUAGCUUCAUUGCAAUCUUGAGCACUGCCUGUGAUACGCAUUUCCCUUUAUCUUUCUCAGGAGGGCUGAGCUGAGAUGUUGGUUUCGACUGCUUAAGUUAUUUUCUCUUUACCUAGUUCUCAUGGAGGCCAAACAUUUUUGCUGCCAGUCCUUUUCCACAAUGUAGGAAGAGAAGGGCACAGGGGUCCCCCUAGUUCAGGCUACCUAACAGAUCAAGCAGGAAUGUCAAGAAUCUCCUGCAUAUGAGGAAGGUACAGACAGUUCAGAAGACAAGGGUAUUUGAUGGGAAAGUUGCAGUGGGCAUUAGGGUUCAGGGAAGUGCCUCCUGUCCUGUAUCCCCUGACCUCACAGUACUUUUGGAGCAGCAUGGCUAGAGGACAUAGGACAACAAUGCGCAUCAACUGAUGUCAUAUGAGCAUACGUGGUCUACUGGCAAACAUCACACAAGGAUGAUAGGGACAGGUUCUUAUUUUUCGUUUCCCACUGAGUGGUGGGGUUGUCUGUUGGUGAAGGUGUUGCUGUCUCAGCCUUCUUCUGUGUAUUGCUUUAAGCCUGUGAAAAAUGGCCACUGAGGUAGGUGACCCUUCACCCACUUAUAUUGUUACACAGUACUAUAAUGUGGAUGACUCCUGCAAUGUUACUGCUCUUGCUUUUGCUGAUGCUGUUGUAUCCACACUGAUGCAAUGCACUGUGUGCCUUCAUCUUGGUGAUAAUCCAGGGUGUUCUCCUAUAGCUUUUUUGCAAGUCUUGAGCACUGCCUGUGAUACACACUUCCCUCUAUCGUUCUCAGGAGGCCUGAGCUGAGAUGCCAAUUAAACUGCUUAAGUUAUUUUCUCUUUACCUAAUUCUCAUGGAGGCCAAAUAUUUUUGCUGCCAAUCCUUUUCCACAAUUUGAGAAGAGGAGGGCACAGGGGUUUCCCUAGUUCAGGCUACCUAACAGGUCAAGCAGGAAUGACUAGGGCACCUUCAGGCUACCUAACAGGUCAAGCAGGAAUGACUAGGGCACCGGGGUUUCCCUAGUUCAGGCUACCUAACAGGUCAAGCAGGAAUGACUAGGGCACCUUCAGGCUACCUAACAGGUCAAGCAGGAAUGACUAGGGCACCUUCAGGCUACCUAACAGGUCAAGCAGGAAUGACUAGGGUACCUUCAGGCUACCUAACAGGUCAAGCAGGAAUGACUAGGGCACCUUCAGGCUACCUAACAGGUCAAGCAGGAAUGACUAGGGCACUGGGGUUUCCCUAGUUCAGGCUACCUAACAGGUCAAGCAGGAAUGUCAAGAAUCUCCUGCAUGCGAGGAAAAUACAGACAGUUCAGAGCACUAGGGACUUUGAUAUGAAAGUUGCAGUGGGCAUCAGGGUUCAGGAAAGUGCCUCCACUCCCUUUUUCCCUUCCCUCACAGUACCUUUGGAGCAGCAUGGCAGGAGGACACGGGACAACAACGCACAUCGACCUAUGUGAUAUGUGCAUACAUGGCCCACUGGCAAAGGUCACACGUGGAUGAUAGGGACACGUUGUGAUUUUCCAUUUUCCCAGUGAGUGGUGUGCUUCUAUGCUGGUGAAGGUGUUGCUGCCUCAGCCUUCUUCUGUGUAUUGCUUUAGGCCUAUGAAAAAUGGCCACUGAGGUAGGUGACCCUUCACCCACUUAUAUUGUUACACAGUACUAUAAUGUGGAUGACUCCUGCAAUGUUACUGCUCUUGCUUUUGCUGAUGCUGUUGUAUCCACACUGAUGCAAUGCACUGUGUGCCUUCAUCUUGGUGAUAAUCCAGGGUGUUCUCCUAUAGCUUUUUUGCAAGUCUUGAGCACUGCCUGUGAUACACACUUCCCUCUAUCGUUCUCAGGAGGCCUGAGCUGAGAUGCCAAUUAAACUGCUUAAGUUAUUUUCUCUUUACCUAAUUCUCAUGGAGGCCAAAUAUUUUUGCUGCCAAUCCUUUUCCACAAUUUGAGAAGAGGAGGGCACAGGGGUUUCCCUAGUUCAGGCUACCUAACAGGUCAAGCAGGAAUGACUAGGGCACCUUCAGGCUACCUAACAGGUCAAGCAGGAAUGACUAGGGCACUGGGGUUUCCCUAGUUCAGGCUACCUAACAGGUCAAGCAGGAAUGUCAAGAAUCUCCUGCAUGCGAGGAAAAUACAGACAGUUCAGAGGACUAGGGACUUUGAUAUGAAAGUUGCAGUGGGCAUCAGGGUUCAGGAAAGUGCCUCCACUCCCUUUUUCCCUUCCCUCACAGUACCUUUGGAGCAGCAUGGCAGGAGGACACGGGACAACAACGCACAUCAACCUAUGUGAUAUGUGCAUACAUGGCCCACUGGCAAAGGUCACACGUGGAUGAUAAGGACACGUUGUGAUUUUCCAUUUUCCCAGUGAGUGGUGUGCUUCUCUGCUGGUGAAGGCAUUGCUGUCUCAGCCUUAUUCUGUGUAUUGCUUUAGGCCUAUGAAAAAUGGCCACUGAGGUAGGUGACCCUUCAUGCUCUUACACCGUAACAUAAUACAAUAAUGUGGAGAACUUCUGCAAAGUUACUACUGUUGCUUUUGCUGAUACUGUUGUAUCCACACUGAUGCGAUGCAUUGUAUGUUCAUCUUGGUGAUAAUUCAGGGUGUUCUUCUAUAGCUUGAUUGCAAGUCUUGAGCACUGCCUGUGAUAUGCAUUUCCCUCUAUCUUUCUCAGGAGACCUGGGUUUAGAUGCUGGUUUCAAUUGCUUAAGUUAUUUUCUCUUUUCCUAGUUCUCAUGCAGGCCAAACACUCUUGCUGCCAAUCCUUUUUCACAAUUUGAAAAGAGAAGGGCAAGGGGGUUGGAUGGGGUUCCCUACUUCAGACUAUCUAACAGGUCAAGCAGGAAUGCCAAGAAUCUCCUGCAUAUGAGGUAAAUACAGACAGUUCAGAGGACUAGGGACUUUGAUAUGAAAGUUGCAGUGGGCAUUAGGGUUCAGGGAAGUGCCUCCAUUCCCUUUUUCCCUUCCCUCACAGUACCUUUGGAGCAGCAUGGCAGGAGGACACAGGACAACAGUACACAUCGACAGAUGUGAUAAGAGCAUACAUGGCCCAGUGGCAAACGUCACACAUGGAUGAUGGGGUCACGUUCUUUUUUUCCAUUUUCCCAGUGAGUGGUGAGCUUGUCUGUUAGUGAAGGCUUUGCUGCCUCAGCCUUCUUCUAUGUAUUGCCUUAGGCCUGUGAAAAAUGGCCACAGAGGUAGGUGGCCCUUCACCCACUUAUAUUUUUACAUGGUUCUGUAAUGUGGAGGACUCCUGCAAAGUUAUUGCUGUUGCUUUUGCUGAUACUGUUGUGUCCUCACCGAUGCGAUGCAUUGUAUGCCCUCAUCUUUGUCAUAAUUCAGGCUGUGCUCCUAUAGCUUUUUUGCAAGUCUUGAGCACUGCCUGUGAUACACAUUUCCCUCUGUCUUUCUCAGGAGGGCUGAACUGAGAUCCUGGUUUCAAUUGCUUAAGUUAUUUUCUCUUUACCUAGUUUUCACACAGGCCAUACAUUUUUGCUGCCAAUCCUUUUCCACAAUUUGAGAAAAGGAGUGGGUUUCCCUACUUCAGUCUACCUAACGUUAAGUUCAAGCAGGAAUGUCAAGAAUCUCCUGCAUAUGAGCAAAAUACAGACAGUUCAGAGGACAAGGGUCUUUGAUGUGAAUGUUGCAAUGGGCAUUAGGGUUCAGAGAAGUGCCUCCUGUCCUUUUUCCCCUUUCUCACAGUACCUUUGGAGCAGCCUACCUGGAGGACACAGGACAACCAUGCACAUCAACCGAUGUGAUAUAUGCAUAUAUGGCCCACUGGCAAACGUCACACAUGGAUGAUGGGGACAGGUUGUUAUUUUCCAUUUUCCCAGUGAGUGAUGGCCUUGUCUGUUGGUGAAGGCGUUGCUGCCUCAGCCUUCUUCUAUGUAUUGCUUUAAACCUGUGAAAAAUGGCCACAGAGGUAGGUGGCCCUUCUCCCUCUUAUAUUGUUCCAUAGUGCUAUAAUGUGGAGGACUUCUGCAAAGUUACUGCUGUUACUUUUGCUGAUGCUGUUGUAUCCUCAUCGAUACGCUGUAUACCCUCAUCUUGUUCAUAAGCCAGGGUGUUCUCUUGUAGUUUUAUUGGCAUUCUGGACACUGCCUGUGAUGUGCAUUUCCUUCUGUGUUUCUCAGGACGGCUGAGCUGAGGUUCUGGUUUCAACUGCUUAAGUUUCCUCUUUACCUUGUUCUCAUGCCUGCCAAUUAUUUUGGCUGCCUGUCCCCUUUUAUUUGUGAUUGUAAAAUUGGCAAGAGGCUUACUUAGCUUUCAAAAAGAUUUGCAUGGUUUGCAAAGAGGCAGAGGAAGAACUUACAAGUUUUCCAAAGUAAAUAUUCUAAAAAAAGGGAAUUGUUAGGUCUAUUCUUUUUUCACCAGGGAGAUUCAAACUUUUAUUUUUUAUUUUACUUUGUAUUUGCCCUUUCAACGUGCUGCCAUGUGAUACCUGUUCCCCCAAUCUGCCCUUCACAAUGAUGACUUCUGUGUCCUUGCCCAAGCCAGGCAUGUGCAGAAAAGUUCCUCAUGUGGGACUUGUGCAAACAGGACCUCAAGGACAAAUAAUAAGUGUGAGUACUUGCCUAUUUUCUAGCCUGUGCGUGCUUUUACCCAUACCGGUGUUUUUAUGAAGCGUUCUUUAUAACCAGUUGGAGUGGGGAAUCAAACCAUUAGCCUUGUUUACAGAUGGCUUAAAUUGACAUGUUGAUGUCAAUGGUCUGUUGACAAGUGGGGCUGUACAAUUUCUCUCAUAUCCUCCUGUCGUUGAGUCUUAAAUGAGCAGAGGUUUGGUUUCCUGCAGUAGACAGACAUUUACUUUGUAUGACUUGUUAUAUCCAUCACCUGAUAGAAUUUUUGGCUGUAGAUGAGGACUCAGUUCCUGUCUUCUGGAUAUUUAGUGCACGGGCCUCUCCAAAAGGUUUGAAAGAAUGUGCAGAAUGUGCGCACUCCUAUACAGUUUGAAUCAGUUCUUCCAGAUCCCUCUGGAUUUGAGUUUGUCCUCUCAGCCCAUUGUGCUUACUCCAGUCACGCAGUAUAUGGAUUGCUGACAGCUGCCAGGGUGGCCACCUAACAGUUUAGAUUUAUGUUGGUCUUCUGAGCUUUCUUUGUACCUUUGUAUUCACAUGCAAACCUAGUGUGCUGCUGCUUAAUUUGAGAAAAGAAUAGCAGUGGGCUGUGGUCAGUGAAUCCUAGUGGGAUUCAUGGAUUUUCCCGGUCUUCCCAUCAGUCAGACACGAUGCCUUACAGAAUGAUAGAAGGGUCUAUUGUAGACUCCACUCCAGUGUCAGCUUGGACUACUAGUUUUGCAGUCAACAUGCUGAUCUACAGGAUGUGGAAUAUAAUUUAAGCCAGAAACCAAGCACCUGUGCUUCUCUAAAGUCCAGAAGUGAUGGAUCUGGGCACCUGGGGUUAGAGGUAAACAUAAAACUUUUUAUGAUUACAGAUGAGUGCUCCUCACCAAUGUUUUUAGAUUUUAGAACUCAAGGAAAGGAGAAUGCUUCUCCAUGGGAAAUAGAUAAUGCCAUUACUGCUUCCAUAUUUUUUCUUUUUUUGCCUUGAUACUUCAAUUUACAUGUAGUAUUUUACAUUGGCAGUGUUUAAGGUUAACGUUUAGUCCAUAGGUGUUUGAAUUUCAUCAAAUCACAACAGUUCUACAGAAGCCAUGCACUUCAUCUGGAGGACUUUGUCUCAAGGAAUGGCCCCAAGACACCAGCUAUUUAUACAUACGAACAGGAAUUGACUUUGGGAUUGACUUGGACUUUGGGUUGUUUUCAUUGUUUAUGAUAUGUGCUUUAGUACUUACUCAAGAGAUGGUUUUAAAUAUUUUACAUAUGGGGACAGGUCAAAACAUGUAUGUACUGUAUCUAUGUCCUGGGGUGGAAGGCAGCAGUCUCAGGCUGAGGUCUUCCUGAGCCUUGGUCUGUCCAGGAAACAGCUUUUCUCUGAGACCUUUCACCACACCCUUCUGUUUCCUAUGUGACUGGCCAUAGCUAUUUGGUUUGGUACCUUUCACCUCACACUAGUUGAGCUAGUCAUGCUGUUGGGGUCUAGAGUCUGAAAUUAGACUUAAGAACGAGUGACAGCCUGUUAAGUCUCGUUAAUACCCUUUCACUACAGAUAAUGUAAUUUAGAAGUCCUGCUGUUGAGGUCACCUGAAUCGGCCUCAUUUCUGUGUUUUCAAAGUGUGUUUCUCACUUUGGUUUCUUGCAUUUUGUAAAAUAUUUGUGUUCUUCCAAUAAAAUGUUUGAGAAGAUUCCA